UUGAAGGCAAUGAUGUUCUCAACUACCUAUUUUAUGAAAGAAUAGAAAAUUCUAUUGUGAUUAGAAAUUACCAAUGGAUCCUUCUGAGCCUUCU